GAUGAACGCUGGCGGCGUGCCUAAUACAUGCAAGUCGAGCGAAUGGAUUAAGAGCUUGCUCUUAUGAAGUUAGCGGCGGACGGGUGAGUAACACGUGGGCAACCUGCCUGUAAGACUGGGAUAACACCGGGAAACCGGUGCUAAUACCGGAUAAUCCUUUUCCUCACAUGAGGGGAAGCUGAAAGACGGUUUCGGCUGUCACUUACAGAUGGGCCCGCGGCGCAUUAGCUAGUUGGUGGGGUAACGGCCCACCAAGGCGACGAUGCGUAGCCGACCUGAGAGGGUGAUCGGCCACACUGGGACUGAGACACGGCCCAGACUCCUACGGGAGGCAGCAGUAGGGAAUCUUCCGCAAUGGACGAAAGUCUGACGGAGCAACGCCGCGUGAGCGAAGAAGGCCUUCGGGUCGUAAAGCUCUGUUGUCAGGGAAGAACACGUACCGGAGUAACUGCCGGUACCUUGACGGUACCUGACCAGAAAGCCACGGCUAACUACGUGCCAGCAGCCGCAGUAA
rnacentral:rRNA from 1 species